GCUAAAUGCGUCGUUCGAUAUUCAAGAUUCAGGCGUGUGUGAGAGAGAGAGAGAGAGAGGAGAAGGCGUCGUUUGUACGAUUGAAGAGGCCAGAAACAUGGCAUGAUCGUUGUCGUUGAGGAAGGAAAGGACGUUAGACGAAUGUCGUCGUCGUCGUCGUCGUCGUCGUCGUCGUCGUCGUCAUGGUUGUCCUCCAUUGUCCUGGCUCUGCAUGGCUCUCCUCGUUAAAGCGUCCUUAACGAUCGCUCUUCAACGACGAGUCCUGCCUGUCGUCGAAAUCGUCGUAUCGUCGAUCUUAACGAGACUCCUAGUUUAUCUUCCAGCCACGCUCCUCGUCUCUGACUCGUGAGAGCCAACCCAAAUCGAUUCAUCGCUAUCAUUGAAGUUUUAUUCGGAGAACAUCGUCAACAACAAUUUUCCUAAGAGUUUUAUCGCCAACUUUUUUACGAAAUCGCAAAAAUUCAUCGAUCUCCGAAGGGAGAAGAAAAUGAAAGGACAUUUUCUGAACAUAGUACCCCAAUGAGACCUUUGGAGCGGGGAUGGUCCGUGAUGGUCGAGGAGAGAAAGGGAAAAAAAGAAUAGGAAAGGAGAGGAAAGGAAAGAAAAGAAAAGAAAAGAAAAGAAAAGAAAGGAAAGGAAAAGAAAAGAAGAGAGAGAGAGAGAGAGAGAGAGAGAGAGAGAGAGAGAGAGAGAGAAAAGGAGCGAGGAAAAAAGGAAGUAUAAGAAUACAGAACGGUGCUGUGCAUAUGUGGGUGGGCAUUCUUCGUGUAGAGGAGUGAAGAGGGUAAGUUGAGAAAGAGAGGUGGUACUACCAGAUUGCAAGAAGCCGAGGCUGGCCAAGGCCAGAACGUCGCGGAGCCGAGCCGGAUUAUUUUUAGCGCUUCCUACUAUUGUGCAAAGCACAAGUAGUCUGUCAAGCGUCUAGGGAUUCGCUUUAACGGGGGAGUCCACCGUUAGAUUUUACACUCCCCUUCCUACUCCUCUUUUACGACGAGUAGUCACUACUACUCGAUCUAUCGAUGAUGACUGCCGUUCGCUAUAGAUAAGCUGAGACAUACGCAUUGGAUCAGAUCGCGCUUCUUCGAAAAAAAAUCGCGAAAGUGCAGACGCUCGAAAGAAUCACGUUAUGCAACUAUUCGAUCGACGCGACGUGCAUAGAACGAGGAAAGAAUGAGAAAAGAACGAGGAAAGAACGCCCCGCACGAGUCUAUCGGAUCUGUUAGAAACUUCAUGAAGGAUUCUACGUACGUUCCCAACAACGCAGGGAUGCGUCUAUCCUUGAAAGCCAUAAAUAUUCAACCGGUAUACUAUUUCAAACGAUGUACGUAAUACGGUACGUAAACGUCGCGAGAAUCCUAAAAGAGUAAAACCCAGAGAUACGUCGAAAAGAGAAAGAGAAAAAACGAAAGACUAUAAUUUUUCUUCGAGAAAUAUCCUGACGGGACUACUCUUAUCGCAAAACAAACGAAAGUAUUUCUUCGGCAUUUCGUUGGGCAUUCUUUCAGGAUUGAGCACCUCUGAUCCCAGAAGGAAAAAUCAAGGAAAGAAGAAAAGGAGACUCGUUUCUAGAAUAAAACGAGUACGAACGAAGAUACUCGAGAGAUUCCAUUCGACGUGCGGUAGCAGCACGUCGUCGAAUACGACGCAUGGCCUUAGCCUAGUUGCAGAAAAGGCCGUUCGCUCUGGACACGAUGAUGGCUACCACCACUACUAUCGCACGAUCAUUAUCGACGAUGACGACGACGACGAUGACGACGACGACGACGACGACGACGACGACGACGAGGAGGAGGAGGGGGGGGGAGGAGCAGGGAGAGGAGGAGGAGGAGGAGGAAAAGAAGGUUUAAGUAAAUCAACUAAUCAGUACCACGCUGAUGUCCCGCGUACGAGUUCGUGCUCUCCGACUUAUUUACUGGGAUAAACCGGCUGUUUAGACGGCAUCGUACAUGUCGUUUGAAAGACGAUGCUUCCAAGACCCUACACGACGAAAGAACGACUCCUAGACUCUUCAUUCUUAUAUUUCCUUCUUUAUUCUUCUCUCAUCUUUGUCAUUCUCUUUUCCGAUUUCAUUUUGCUUUUUUUUUUCUUUCUCUCUUUUUUUUUUUUUUUCCAAGCCCUUCCUUACAAUAGUAAUCGCGAGAUCAUUCGUUAGUCGCUGAUAACGAUGACGUUUUACAUGACAACGUGAUUUCGAUCGAAUCGCAUUAUUCGAAAACGAACAAACGAUAUCGACAAUGCAAAUAAAGUCAGACUUUACGUAACGCCCCGUCGAAACUAGGCGUCGUUGCUAAAGCCGCGAGACGAACGGGAGGCGUUUUUAAAAGAAAGAAGAUGGAAAAGAAAAAUGAAGAAAAAAAAAAAAGAGAGAGAGAGAGAGAGAGAGAGAGAAAGAAGAAACGAAAAAUGCCGGGCCCAACGACCUCCUUUUUUUUCUUUUUCUUACGCGAUAAGAAAACAUCCGUUCGAAGGAAAGUAAGAUUCGCGAUGACGUCCGUCAAAUUUCGCGAUAUUUCGGAACAAAAAAGUGAAUGCUCGUAUCGACGAGAUUCCUUCGAUCUCAAUCCGAUCGAUCGAUCGAAAAAAGAGGAAGAACGAUAAUGCGCGAGCUUACGUAAAUGUUUCUCCUUUCUAAAGAAGCUUCGGAUAUGCAUCUCUUUGUUCCUUUUGUCACGUACAAUGCUUUCGCCAUACAAACAUCGAUCGUUUUAAUUCUAACAAACUUGUACAUCCUUUCUUUUUCUUCCUUUUUUCUUUCUUUUGUUCCUUUUGCUCUCUUUCGCUUGUUUCGAUUAAACUUCGAACGUUUAAUCGUACUUCUUUCCGAAGGAAAAUAUUCAAGUACGUUCGUCGUUAACGAUCAACUAGUUAUUAUUGCGAUUGAUUCGCAAAGACAAAUUAACUGAUUAAGAGCAAUAAUUAAAAAAUUGAUCACUCUCUUUUGACGUAAGAAGGUCAAUGUGAAGUAAAAUUAUGUUAUCGUUAGAGAAAUUUCUCGAACGUUGAACGAUCGGUUAGAUAAAAUUUUCAUAAGACAGCGCGUUGGAACGCGCGAUGACUCGGUGGAUUCGCCAUGAUUUCCGGGAACGUCUUGUUUCUUACAUUGGAACUUGACACUCCUUGCCUGGAAGGAAGGCCACUCAGAGAAAAAGAGAAAAGGAGAAAGAAAAAAGAAAGAAAGGAGGAGAACGAGAAGAGGCCCGAACGUACAAGCCGAACGCGUGCGUGACGUUAUCGGCGAUGUGCUAAAGUCUCUCGUGGAGGCUGCCGUUGCUUCUGUCUCGUCGUUAAAGAGUACGUCCUUGACCAGUCGACAGGACGUACAGUUAUGUACCAAGUAGUUUUACGUAUGCUUUCGUCUCGCAGCUGUCCGUACACGAUACACGAUGUAUAUAUACCUACUGUUCUUUAUACGCCUGGAAGAGAUAUUAAAAAUUUGCCAUUUUUUCUCGGAAAUUGAUACCGAAAAUCGAUCCGAUCCAAUGAUAAGCUCUUACUUCGAUCGAUCUAAUUAAUACUACGUGCUAAUCUCUAACGCGAGCACUCCUAUACUUUGACAUUAUCAUUUCUUAAAUAAGAUAUUCGAUAUAAGUCUAAAGAGAUUCCAAACGAGCCAAACUAUUAAGUAUCUCCGAAAAUUCAUGAGACCUAUUUUAACUUUGCCGAGCAUCACGAUCUCACGUUUUCAGUGGGCGUUCUCUCGCAUGAACCAAAACGUAAACGCACAUAUUCAGGAAAAUAAUACGUCCGUUAUUUACGAAAUCGUUUAGAAUGGACCGUCUGACGACGGCGACGGCGACGGCGAUGGCGACGGCGAUGGCGACGGCGACGGCGACGGCGGCGCCGACGACGACGACGACGACGACGACGACGACGACGACGACGACGACGACAAACCUAAAAGGGGGCAAACCAGCAAGAGGGAACAACGGGCGAAAGACGACGUAAUACAAGGCAAUUGGCCUUGCGAGGUGAACGUACUACCGAACGAUUCGACAAGUAUGACGAUGUGAAGAGAGAAUAAGAAGGAGGUAUAUCGUACGGACAUUGCACUGGCACACCAAAACAAAAUUCGUUUAGUUCUGACUCACAAUCGGUACGCAAUUCGUCCUCUACUCAUUGGACGGUUUAAAUUCGUUGAUCGAUCGAAUCGUUAUUAAUCAUUGACUUUAUUCGACGAAUACGUAAUAAGCGAUAUUUCAUUAAUGCGCAUCUAAUGUAAUGUAGGUCUAAACCUACAUAAAACUAGAGUAAUUUAAUGACGAGAACUCCUAGAAAUAGAGACUCGGAAGAGAUGAAAUAAGAAAGAAAGGCGGAAAGAAAGAGAUCAUUGUUUCUCCCCCUCGUAGAGAAGCAAAGAGGUCAUACGCCUAAUUAUCCCACGGCCCGGGCACGAGCACGAAAUACAAGGAAUACAAAAGGGAAAGAGAAAAAAAUAAAAGGAGAGAGAGGGGUCAUACAACAACGAUGGAGGCUCGAAUCGGAAAAGGGAACGAACAAAAAAAGAGGACAGAGAGAGAGAGAGAAAGAGAGAAAAUGCUUGGCUCGUUCCAUCGCGAAGCACGCGCGACGAGCAACGAAGCUUAUCGUAAAUUAUUUCAAUGCACCUAACUCGCCUAACGUGCAGGGAGUAUUAUUUACGACGAGGGUCCUCUCUCUCUCUCUCUCUCUCUCUCUCUCUCUCUCCCUCUCUCUUUCUCGUUGUCGUUCUCUUGCUCUUUCUCGCGCACUGGGUGCAGCCUAGGCCGUCUCGGAUAGGGUAGGAUACGAUUACAUCACGGUGCAAACAGCCGGUAAUAGUGGCUCAAGGCUACUAUGCGCAUAUGCACAUGCAUGGCCGCAACGCCGGCUGGCCCACACGAACGCCUCCUGUUUAUUUAUUUUUUUUUUUUUUCUUUUUCUUUUCCUUUUUCCCUUUUCCUCUCUUCCCUAACGCUCGCGAGAAAGUCCUACUCCCCUCGAUUACGUGCAUUAAAGAUGCUUACAUAUUCUUAGAUUAUUUUUGCUUUCUUUUUUAUACUUGAAAUCAGAGUCUAGUUCCGAGUCAACUAGAUAUCCUUAUCGCUUAUAUACUUUUUAAACGAGCUACAAGUUGAAAAAUAUCAGACUCUUCCUACUAGGUUUAUAAUGAUUAUCGACAUGGAAAAUAAAUGUUGUAGCUCUUCUUCCCCGCUCUUUCCACGCACACACUUAGGCGAACGCAACGAUUUCGACGUCUGAAUGUAUUUUAAGAAGCCGACCGACGCAGGACUUAUCUUUAAUGACUCGCAGGGUCGAAAGUGCAACGCGUCCUCGAGUUAUAUAAAACCCUAUACCGUCUGAAAUCUUUCCUCGGUUGGGAUAUCUCUUCGAAAACAAACAGACGCACACAACGAUCUUAGAGGUCUUUAUCUUCUCACGCAACGUACAUACCUUUAUAAUUUUAUCGGCCGAUAACGAAGAAUGAAAAUUCGACAUACACGUAAUUUCAUUUACUCGUACGAUCGUCGUCGUAGUCGUCAUCGAACGAACACGUGAAAAGAAAAUAAUGCGUGGGCUUGCGCCAACGUUCUCGUGUCUCUCUUUUUCUUCUUCUAACACUUGAAAUAAAUCAUGUUAAAAUACGAUACAAAUACUCGGUUUCGUCUCGGACUGUUACGGAAGAGAUCGUUGAUUUUCUUCUUCUCCGUUUUCUCACUUUUCUUUUUUUAAAUUAUAUCAGAUUGAUGCAAUGACAAUUUCCUCGGAUAUUAUUUUGACAAAUAAUAUCAGAGAAGUAGGCAAGUGUAUUUUUCACUCAAAGAAUGUUCUCAGGGUUUAACUUUGCAAAAACAUUACAUUAACGUUUGUGGAAAAAUUGAGACAGCUUUCGAUAAAGAGCUUAGGCCCGAUUUUUCUUCUUAAGGAAUUGACAUCUUUUUUUUCGUUCCCACAUUGAAGAGAUUCUUUAAUCGAGGCCGUUCAGAAGAGUUUGUAAUAACGAGGACACAGGUGCCGAGCGCAACGCGUUGCGUGUAAUCGUGAAAAAAAAAGGAUAAUCGUGGCGAGACGAUACGCAUAAUCCAAACUAGUUCUCAUCGAUCAUUCGGCACGUGUAUUUCUCACUUGUGUCGAGAGAUAGAAGUCUGCUUUAAGAAAGAGAGAGAGAGAGAGAGAGAGAGAGAGAGAGAGAGAGAGAGGAGGGGGAGAGAGCGAGAGAUAAAUAAACCAGUCGCAAGAAUGUUGCAGAGCAACUCGCAUGAUUCGUGUUGCCUAAGCCAGAUUUAUUUACGUCGUAGGGGCUACAUACAUAAAGAGUGUGAGAGAGAGAGAGAGAGAGAGAGAGAGAGGGAGGGGGGAAAAGAUACGUGUAAUCUAACGUACGAUCAUCGGUUCGAUCGUAAAAGGAAAGGAAGUCUCGCCAAUAUCGAUAUAUCACGAUCAACGCGUUGCCUUGGAACGAGAUUCUGAUUUUAUUUUGAAAAAGUUCGAAAUGUCUGUAGUAAGAGAGAAAGAGAGAGAAAGAGGUUUAUUAAUAUCUAUAGUAAUAUCGUGAAAUAAUAAAUGUUAAGUAUCAUAAUAAUACUUGUAAUGCAAAAUAAUAAUUAUUAACUAACGAACGACACGAAUAAUAAAAUAAUUAAAUAAUUAAUACAUCAUAAGAAAAAAAAAAAACGUGUCUCUGUGUUUCUGUUUCAAGAAGUUAUUUAUAAGCGUUAAACUUGUUAAAGGAAAUAAAAGAAAAACAAAUAGACCGUAGUACUUGGACCUGUUCGUUAUUAAUAGUCGAUGUCGAUCGGAAUUGAUUAGAUCGAAAGAACGCGUUUGAUUUUUCAUCUUGAGAUGACGACCAAGCCAGUUUCGAGAACGCAUUCGAUCGUAUCUCGCGAUAGGCGUUAUUAGCAUCUUCGUUAUUAUUAUUAGUCACUGAUAAAAGUAAAGUAAUUUCCGGCGCGAACGUAAAAGCUAACAACGACAUUGUCGACGUUGCGACGUAAUUCGCUACCGCGCCAGAAGCGAACAUUUUUUCUGUCUGCCGAACGUCUCGACGUAACUCGGUAUUAUAUAUAUAUACAUAUAUGUAUCUACGAGCGAUCCUGACUUCUCUUCUUUUUGUUAUUGCUCUUGUUAAAUGCGUCAUUCCAUUUUGUCUAAUGAAAACACAUAUCUGAACUACCUGAAUCGAUCAGAAGAUUAUAUUCAUUCAACCGGUUGAAAUAUUUUGUAUCGAAAAAAGAGACAAAUCCUUUCGAAAUUUCGACGCGACGACGUCGCAACGCUCUCUCUCUCUCUCUCUCUCUCUCUCUCUCUCUCUUUCUCUCUAAAAACGAAGAGAAGAGUUACGCUGACGAAAGGCACGUAGGAGCUAGUGCGAGCCAGCUUUCGAAUUCCAUUUCGCGGUCCGAGGAGAGAGAGAGAGAGAGAGAGAGAGAGAGAGAGAGACAGAGAGGGAGGGAAAGGGAGAGAGAGCGCACACGCCGUGCCGUUUGUUUAUCCGUUUGUACACCCUUUUAAAAAUAGGCUUUCAUUCAAGGAUCCCGGCCAGACGCGAGCCAGACAUUCGACAGCACGCGUACAGAUAGCUUCUGCUAUUUCGUCACGCUCGUCUUCUCCUCGCACGUUUCGCCGCUCUCUUUCGACGCGCGUUCUCAUCUCAGUUGUGUGUGUGUGUGUGUGUGUGUGUGUGUGUGUAUGCGCGCGCACGCGCUUCAAUAAAGUGGGACGACAAAGAAGAGACAACAAACGAGCCAAUGACGACACGUUCGAACGACCUCACAUCUUAAUCGUGUCUACGAAUUAGAUGUUUUUCUCAUUUUAUGCUUUUUUCAACAUCGGUGUUGAUCCCAUCCGAUGAAUUAUUUGCGAGUACACGUUUGCUUUUAUCUCUCUUUCUCUCUCUCUCUCUCUCGUUUGCCUCGCACUUUGUGUGCAAACAAACUGUGCGCGUGUAUGUGACGCUCGAUGCGUACACGCGUAGUGGAAGAAGGAAAAACAAUGUCUGACGCGGCGACGUGAACAUGGGAAAGUGUUGGCUCGUGUAUGAUGCGGGUAUGUAGGUGGGUAUAUACGUGCCGAUGUCGUCGAUCGACGUGGCCGCGCUACGAUAAAUAUGGUAGACAGUGAGAGAGAGAGAGAGAGAGAGAGAGAGAGAGAGAGAGAGAGAGAGAGAGAGAGAGAGGAAACGAAAGAGUGAGGAAAAGAAGACAGGUAGAAUUGGAGAGACACGUAGAGACAGUUAUACGGAAAUCAAAGAGAGAGAGAGAGAGAGAGAGAGAGAGAGAGAGAAAGAGGACAGAGAACAGGAAGACAGAGAAUUCACAGACGGAUGCACAGAAAAAGAUAGGAAAUAGACACGGAGAGAUGGACAAAGAUAGAAAAUUAGAGAGGAGGAUAUAAGCGUACAGAAACAAAAGAAAAACAAUGACAUGAUACAAAGCAGAGACGCAAAAAUAUAAUUCUCUUUUGCUAGAGAUAUUAUGAAAAUGAAAACUCUUUAGGAAGCUAUCGAAAGAGAUACAUUUCACUCGGGUAUCUCCUCCUCGAGAGUUAACAUCGUUGCUCACAGAGAGGAAUAAUCCGGUGUUUAGACGAUGGGAUCCGAUUUUGUGACAGGCUGUAUACACGCAGCGAGCUUAUUUUUGUUUAGUCUGCUCGCCCGAAAGCGCUGCCACCGCACUCGGAAUUACGUACAGGUACCACACAAUCCAUCCUCUCUCUUUCAAAAACAGAUGAAAGGCAUUCUUUCCUACUAUUAGACAUCGCAACAUGGAAUUCAUGAAUCUAUUAGCUAGUUAUAAUAUUUACCCUCAUAAUUGAAAACUUUCAAGACAAAGACAGAAAGAGGGAGGGAGAGAGAGAGAGAGAGAGAGAGAGAGAGAGAGAGAGAGAGA